rnacentral:ncRNA from 2 species
GUAUUUGAGACAGGUCCAGGUGUAUCAGCUUAAUAGGGAAUCCCGUUAAAGUCGGGAGCGGUCCCGCCGCUGUGACCCUGCCCGAACACUGCAUCCGCCUGUAGCGCCCGUUGUCCGGUAUCGUGCAAGCGCCGUCUUCGGCGGGCAAGAUCGACCCAGCCGGCAAACAGGCUGCCAGUUUGUAAGGGAACCCCUUCGGCCGUUGCGCGCCACUGUUUCGAAGAAUCGACAUGGGAAGGCUGCCGAGGGGGCGGGGAAGCCAGAAGACCUGCCUGGGCGUUCGGCCGAAC